ensembl:miRNA ocu-mir-512a ocu-mir-512a
AUAAGAGCCCGAUCCGCGGGACUCAGCCUUGGGGGCACUUCCUGUUGUCAGGCCUGGAAGUGCCGUCAAGGUUGAGCUUCGCUGACCGAGGAGGACGU